AUUGAACGCUGGCGGCAGGCUUAACACAUGCAAGUCGAGCGGGGGAAGGUAGCUUGCUACCGGACCUAGCGGCGGACGGGUGAGUAAUGCUUAGGAAUCUGCCUAUUAGUGGGGGACAACAUCUCGAAAGGGAUGCUAAUACCGCAUACGUCCUACGGGAGAAAGCAGGGGAUCUUCGGACCUUGCGCUAAUAGAUGAGCCUAAGUCGGAUUAGCUAGUUGGUGGGGUAAAGGCCUACCCAGGCGACGAUCUGUAGCGGGUCUGAGAGGAGGAUCCGCCGAACUGGGACUGAGACACGGCCCAGACUCCUACGGGAGGAAGCAGUGGGGAAUAUUGGACAAUGGGGGGAACCCUGAUCCAGCCAUGCCGCGUGUGUGAAGAAGGCCUUAUGGUUGUAAAGCACUUUAAGCGAGGAGGAGGCUACUCUAGUUAAUACCUAGGGAUAGUGGACGUUACUCGCAGAAUAAGCACCGGCUAACUCUGUGCCAGCAGCCGCAGUAA
rnacentral:rRNA from 1 species